CGCGGGGUGGAGCAGCUUGGUAGCUCGUCAGGCUCAUAACCUGAAGGUCGCAGGUUCAAAUCCUGCCCCCGCAACCA
rnacentral:tRNA from 1 species